CGGGGGGGCAAGCGUUGUUCGGAAUUACUGGGCGUAAAGGGCGCGUAGGCGGUUUGCUAAGUUGAAUGUGAAAACUCUGGGCUUAACCCAGAGCCUGCAUUCAAUACUGGCAGGCUAGAGUUCUGGAGGGGAUAGCGGAAUUCCUGGUGUAGCGGUGAAAUGCGUAGAUAUCAGGAGGAACACCGGUGGCGAAGGCGGCUAUCUGGACAGAGUCUGACGCUGAGGCGCGAAAGCUAGGGGAGCAAACAGGAUUAGAUACCCUGGUAGUCCUAGCCCUAAACGAUGGAUACUUGCUGUGACUGGGAUUGAAUCCAGCCGUGGCGAAGCUAACGCAUUAAGUAUCCCGCCUGGGGAGUACGGUCGCAAGGCUG
rnacentral:rRNA from 1 species